ensembl:lncRNA
UAUAUAUAUAUAUAUAUAAUUCAAAUGAUGUGAUUCAGUGUUUUGAUAUAUUAUAUUUUGCCAUGGUAGAUCAAGGAGGAUCAAGGCACUCCAGCACCUAUUCAUAUGGGCAUUAUUGUUGACACUCCUGUACCCUUGGUUGUAUGGAUGUAGCCUUUAGCUCCUCCUGCAGUCUCUGGAACUGUAAUCCAUAGAGCUCAAGUUUCGCCACUGGCACGGAAUAAAAAACGUGUAUAAAGCCACAAGGAUGAUCAUUCUUUGCAUCCUCUCCCAGAAAUCCACCUGUCAAAAAGUGAAGCAUGUUUCCACGAGUCAGGUACAACACUGCCACCAGAUGUCACUCAUAUACCAUAUUCGAGCUUCAUAUUCCUAUUGUCCUCACUCUUGAGAAUGAGAUAGGUCUUUCGCACAGGUAUGUUAAGGAUAUAUUUAGCUUUAUGUAUAGAUUCCCCAAAGGUGAAGGGUUGGAAUGCUAGAAAGGAAACAUGUUUAACAUCUUUGUAUAUUUCCUCAUUGGAAAAAAAGAAAAAAAAGAAUGUUCAGCAGUUGUAUACAGUGAAAUGAUCAGUGACGUGUGUGGCUGCUAUCUGUGAAUGAAAUGGGUUAGUAUAGCUUUAGUUCUGUGUGCUGGCCAGAAGUCACGGUAAUGCAAAAAAAGGUUUUGCUCCUUUGCCACAAACGCAAGUCAUUGGGUGGUAUCCCAUAUGCACACUCUAGGCUAUGUGGAGAGGAUGAAGCCAAUAUGAUUUCUCACUGCCCCCCCCCCCCCCCCUUGACCUCCUUAUGGAUUAAGUCCACUACCUCACCCUUAAUAAAGAGAUCAAAUGAAACAUUGCGAAUCUAAAUCUAUUCCAGUGCCUUGAACUCAAGCCGUUCCUCAGUCAGUCUGCAUUGUUCAGAUCCAACCUACCACCACCAGGAUAGAUUCAGAACAAGGGCUCCCAUACAUCAAUUUUUUAACAAUUAAACACACAGGCAUGGGUAGAUGACCAUUGUAUUAAUGGCAACACCAAGACUGUUUAUACAGAGGGUCAAAUAUGAACUAGAGGUGUAUUCUAUCUUUUUGGUGACAUGGAAAGGAGGCAUAAGCAUAUGUAUGCAGUUUCAGCCCUCAGCCUCUCCCACUCUCUCUGUAAUAUAUAGUGUUGAAUAAACUAUUUCCAGUUUCUUCACUUGGGGUGUUUUCUUUCUCUUCUG